AGUGGUUAGGCGUUUGGCUGCAAACCAAAAGGUUGGUAGUUAGAACCCACCAGCCACUC
rnacentral:tRNA from 1 species